rnacentral:snoRNA from 2 species
GGAGCAUCAGUGAUGUUACAUUACUUCAACAUUAACUCAUCCUUGCACUUUGAGCUGCGCGGUGAAGAAACAGUUCGGGAAAGUUGUCUGAGAUGCUC